rnacentral:rRNA from 1 species
UACGAAGGGGGCUAGCGUUGCUCGGAAUCACUGGGCGUAAAGCGCACGUAGGCGGCUUCUUAAGUCAGGGGUGAAAUCCUGGAGCUCAACUCCAGAACUGCCUUUGAUACUGAGGAGCUUGAGUCCGGGAGAGGUGAGUGGAACUGCGAGUGUAGAGGUGAAAUUUGUAGAUAUUCGCAAGAACACCAGUGGCGAAGGCGGCUCACUGGCCCAUAACUGACGCUGAGGCACGAAAGCGUGGGGAGCAAACAGG